UGAACAAAAUUCCUAGCACCUAAAAUUAACAGAAAAAUUUAUAUUUUAUCUUUAGUUUCUUUUGUUUCCAAGUAUCAUUAAAAUGAAUUCUGAACGUUCACUGAAAAGUGUAUCGAAGCCGUCUUUAAUCAAAGCAGUUUCCCAGGAGCAAAAGUCCGUGCAGUUUUCUUCGGUCCCGACCAUAAAAAAGAGUGCCUAAAACGGAAAUCCGGACGAUCUCGGACCUCAAGCCGUCACAUCACACAAAGAGACUGGCAGUUCAACUGCUUUUUCCAGUCUGUAGAACAAAAUGAAUGCGAUGUCAAAGGACCGGCAAAGCUAGACACCGUUUAGAUUAAGUGAUCUAAGAAGACAGCCUCGAAAUUUAAGAAUUGUCUAUACACAAACACACACGUCCCAAAUUUUUGUACAACAUUUGUAUACACCUGGACCUCUAAUUAUUAAGACAAUUGCUGAUUGAAACGUUA